CUCCGCCACCCCUCACCCCCUCUGCUUCACUUUUCCAUUUUCUGCGCAGGGUGCAGUUAGUUAAAUUUCUCAUCUUGACCAUAAUACGUCUUUGGAAUUUUAACCUCGCCAACGUUGAAGCAGACAGCUGACAGUUAACUGAAAAUUGCGAAUUGCAAAUUUCUAUCGUAUUUUUCUCUUACACACUCUGCAUUUCCGUCGUCUAUCAACAACCAUGUUCAGAGGACUGGUACUGUGAAUAAUAUUCUGUUGUCAAACGCGGACGAAAACGUUUGAUUUACUGACCUUCGGUAUUGGGGUGUACACCGGAAUGUAUCUUUCUCAGAAUUAUGAUGUACCAAAAGUGGACGAACCAGAAAAAUUACUACAGAAAAUCAAAGACUUUGCUGAUAGACACCGGAAAGAUUAAAUAGUGGUUGAAUCAUGUA